rnacentral:rRNA from 1 species
AUGAACGCUGGCGGCGUGCCUAAUACAUGCAAGUCGCACGAACGGACGAGAAGCUUGCUUCUCUGAUGUUAGCGGCGGACGGGUGAGUAACACGUGGAUAACCUACCUAUAAGACUGGGAUAACUUCGGGAAACCGUAGCUAAUACCGGAUAAUAUUUUGAACCGCAUGGUUCAAAAGUGAAAGACGGUCUUGCUGUCACUUAUAGAUGGAUCCGCGCUGCAUUAGCUAGUUGGUAAGGUAACGGCUUACCAAGGCAACGAUGCAUAGCCGACCUGAGAGGGUGAUCGGCCACACUGGAACUGAGACACGGUCCAGACUCCUACGGGAGGCAGCAGUAGGGAAUCUUCCGCAAUGGGCGAAAGCCUGACGGAGCAACGCCGCGUGAGUGAUGAAGGUCUUCGGAUCGUAAAACUCUGUUAUUAGGGAAGAACAUAUGUGUAAGUAACUGUGCACAUCUUGACGGUACCUAAUCAGAAAGCCACGGCUAACUACGUG